CCUACGGGCGGCAGCAGUGGGGAAUAUUGGACAAUGGGGGCAACCCUGAUCCAGCCAUGCCGCGUGUGUGAAGAAGGCCCUCGGGUUGUAAAGCACUUUCAGUGAGGAAGAACGCCUGGUGGUUAAUACCCAUCAGGAAAGACAUCACUCACAGAAGAAGCACCGGCUAACUCCGUGCCAGCAGCCGCGGUAAUACGGAGGGUGCGAGCGUUAAUCGGAAUUACUGGGCGUAAAGCGCGCGUAGGUGGCUUGAUAAGCCGGUUGUGAAAGCCCCGGGCUCAACCUGGGAACGGCAUCCGGAACUGUCAAGCUAGAGUGCAGGAGAGGAAGGUAGAAUUCCCGGUGUAGCGGUGAAAUGCGUAGAGAUCGGGAGGAACACCAGUGGCGAAGGCGGCCUUCUGGACUGACACUGACACUGAGGUGCGAAAGCGUGGGUAGCAAACAGGAUUAGAUACCCCUGUAGUC
rnacentral:rRNA from 1 species